UACGGGGGGAGCAAGCGUUGUUCGGAUUUACUGGGCUUAAAGGGCGCGUAGGCGGUCGAUCAAGUCAGGGGUGAAAUCCUGCAGCUUAACUGUAGAAGUGCCUUUGAUACUGGUCGUCUCGAGGGAGGUAGGGGUGUGUGGAACUUCCAGUGGAGCGGUGAAAUGCGUUGAUAUUGGAAGGAACGCCGGAGGCGAAAGCGACGCACUGGACCUCUUCUGACGCUGAGGCGCGAAAGCUAGGGGAGCAAACGGG
rnacentral:rRNA from 1 species